CUGGAAAGUAAUAGAUCAGAUGAGGAGAUGGAGAUAGAGGAAGAAAAAGAGGCAAAUGUAGACACACAAGUGACAGAAAUAGCAGAAGUUUACAUCAGAAAGGCUGCCCUUCACUAAUUCUUCAUUGAGGACAUGAGAUGCAUUAAUGAAUCGAGAACAGAGCACCAGAACUUAAACAGGAAAUAUCAGUGUAUGGCUUCAUCUUUCUAAUCCCUCACUUGUAAGGAGAAGUGCUUGGGACCACAUGUCCCUGUGACACCAUCAGCCAGGCAACGUUGUCAUGACAUAAUUUCCCAUUGGUUCUAAAGUGGUUGUUCUAAGGUGUCAUGGCAUUUACGGCUCAGCCUUUGACCUGGAAAUUGAAUGAAGUUUGCCACCUUGAAGGACAUAUACAUUUUCUGAACUCACUGAAGACUCGAGGACUGCAGGGAGAGGACUCCAAAAGAGCUAAGAGCAUCACACCUGGACCUUCCACUUACUGUUUAUGUUACCAAAAGCAUGAUCUUCUAAUUGCAACCAAGGCUCAUUGGAAAACAGGUGCCUGUACUUAUACAGUUUUGCAAAAUUCCAAAAACACACCUACACAUAAGAUUCACUGCAGUUUCCAGCUGAAAUGAACACUAGUGGUAGUAAAACAUCAACAACCUUUAGUCUUCACAUCAUUUACGAUUACACAACCUGGUUAUUCAUUUUUAAAGACAGAAUUUUUAAACAGUUCCUUACACAAUAUUAUGUUAUAACCAUAGUGCACGAUUUGUAAAAUAAUACAUUUUGACAUUUGCAUCACUACAUCAUCUCCAUUGGCUUUUCUAAUAUAGUAAACUUGCUCAGUAACUCACGUGGUACAGCACUGGGUGCAAAUCCGGUAAAACAUGAAUUGUGAUAAAAGAGCUCAAAGGACUUAGAAACAAGCAAAUACAACUUAUCUCCCACUUUUGUUCAUUUAGCUUUUAAUGUACACCAAUAAAACAUUGUUCAUGAACUGAAUAAGCUCACUAAAUACACACUUUAAAAGUGUCACAAACAAGAAGCAGCAUAGUAUCAGUUUGCAGAAACAUCAGCACAGGCAUGUUUUUCCAAUGAGCCCUAAUUAGCACUAAACAGUCUUCAUACACAAACAUGCAUACUAAGACACAUACAUCACAUGCUAAACUGUCAGUGGAUAAAUAAAAGAAAGAUGGGCUGAAGUGUCAGUUUAUCUCUUAAUCAACACACACACACAUCUUCAGGAUACACAGCCGUCUAAUGUGACAGUGCUGAAAACAUUAGGACAACACCUGAUACCUUCCGACCAACCUGCGUGUAGUUUUUCACUCCCUCACCCCCCGCCGCAGUCAUUUAUUAACUAAGACAUCUAAAAAGUACCCUGCUGUUCUUUACUGCAAAUAGUUAAUUGUAUUCAAAGCUCUUCACAGGAUAAAAAUAAUGAGUUAGCAAACCAUAUUAACCUGAUAGCACCAAAUGCUCAUGCAAGAACAUUUUGCAGAAUA